UACGAAGGGGGCUAGCGUUGCUCGGAAUCACUGGGCGUAAAGGGCGCGUAGGUGGCGAGUCAAGCGUGCGGUGAAAGCUCGGGGCUUAACCCCGAGUCGGCCGUGCGAACUGGCCUGCUUGAGCACUGUAGAGGCAGAUGGAAUUCCGGGUGUAGCGGUGGAAUGCGUAGAUAUCAAGAGGAACGCCUGAGGUGAAGACGGGUUGCUGGGCCGACACUGACGCUGAGUGCGCGAAAGCCAGGGGAGCAAACGGG
rnacentral:rRNA from 1 species